CUAAAACACUGUGGUGUUGCCAAAGAGUAAGCUUACACAAACCUGUUUGGUGUAGAAAAAGAGCAAGAACUAUCAUGAGAGGCUGGGGGUGGUGGACAGGUAACAAAGAGUGAAUUAGGAUUUGAGGGAGUUAAAACAAAUGAGAUAAUGGCUUGGCCCAUUUAGUCCUGCGGAGACAUUCUGCAGCCCUGUCUCAGGAUCAGUGAUGUAACAGCAGAAGACUUCAGGAGACUGCCUCAGUGUUUUCUUAAUUCAUUUAGGUUAUUAUUUGCCUGUGGUCUACUCUUUUUUUCAGGUCUAGUUUCUCCCCCACCCUCACCCCUCCUGCCUUAAGCUGUUAUAUAAGCACCUUAAAUCUCUGAUUAGAAACCUUGCUGUGUUCUGUUUCGUGUGCUUUGUUCUGAUAAGCAUGGAUUUUAUAACUCCCAGGUCUUUUGUAGAAAGGCUGGGGAGCUGGGACCUGCAGUCAGAUGAAGAUAGUUGCUAUGGGCUAUUCAGUUAGUGUGGAUCAGGAAUCCUACCAGUUAUCACCUCCAAGUGGGGAUGGGAGGAGAGGAGAUGGGGUGGGGGAGGAGAGAGAAAGAUUGAUGCAGGAGAAAGAAACCUGCCAUGUGAUUUUUCCAAAUCCCUUAACCUCUCUGGGUCUCAACUUCUUUAUCUGUAAAUAGAAAGCAUUGAUUUUAACUCCCUUGCCUCAAAUGAUCUGAGCUCUUAUUCCCCUGGUAGAGAGAAGACAGUGAUGAAGGGUCAUGCUAAUGGGAACAGAAAAUGCUGUCUUUCUUAUAUAGCUUCAUGUCUGAGAAGGGCAGUUUUUCAUUCCUGAAGUAAUAAUCAUAGCCAACUUUUAUAUGGUGCUCACAAUCGACCUGGCAUUGUUCUAAGCACUUUAUGAGCACCUCUCAUUUCAUUCUCACAGCAUCCCUAUGAGCUAGAUACAGUUAUUAUCUUCAUGCUGGAGUAAGAAAAAGAUACAGAGAAGUUAUGGAACUUGCCCAGUGUCACACAGUUAGCACAUUCUAGGGUAGGGAUUCAACAUGAGCCACCUGGCUCCAAAGUUAGUGCUGUUAGCCCAUGCCCUUAAGAGCUUAGAGGCAGAGAGCUUAGGGAGUUCUGAAAAACCCAUAAAUAUACUUUCAAAAUCCUUGAAAAAAGAACAAAUAACGGGGAGAGAGCCAGUAAUGGGAGAUUUGACUUAGACUUGAUGGAAAGACUUCCAAUCUAUUGAGCUGAGACCUGGAGGAUGAGAAGGCACCAUUUAGACGAAAGAAAAGGGAAGAGCCUGGCAGGCAGAGGGAUCCGAAUAUGCUGAGGGAAUACAGUGCGGUCAAGAUCUGGAAGGUGUCUGUAUGCCUUGAGUUCAGGGAGUGAAGGGGAAGGUGGAGAACCUUAUGACUUAGGAGAUGGGUGGGGCCAAUGCAUGAGGGCUCCGGUGUCUCUGUCUGUCUCAGGGUUUCUCUAGCUCAGGACUGUUGACUUUUGGGGCUGGAUAAAUCUUCAUUGCGGGACCUUUCCUGUGCUUUGUGGGAAGUGUAGCAGCAUUCCUGACAUAUACUCAUGAGAUACCAGUAGAACACCCACCCCCAAGGCCACCCAAAUUGUGAUAAUCAGAAAUGUCUCCAGACAUCGCUAAAUAUCCAGUGGAGGGCAGAACUGGCUCUGGUUGAGAACCCCUGAGCUAGAUAUUUCAUGCAUUGGGAUCUGUCCCUCCUCAUGGCCUAUAAGAUGGACCCUGAGUUAUGGGGUCACUUUCUACACAUGGACAUUGACUGAAUCUCUUUGGCCAGGUCGUAGCCAAGCCUGACCAGGUAGGUACAGCCUCCUGGAGACCAUCCUUGGAAAUUGUCAUGUUCAAACAGAGAUAGCAUCAUCAGAGCGGACAACGCUGAAAUUAGAGCACUGAACUAGAAAAUGAAGACUGAAGAACUGCAUCAGGUUCAGAGAAGAAACAAAGGGGGUUCUUCUUCACAAGCAGGCCCUCUAGAGUUUCAGUACAAUACGAUACUUUCCCAAUGGGCUCGGUUCUCUUUCUGCUGAAACCAAUGUAACUGCGUAGAGCUUCACAAAGCAGGCUUUUAUGAAGAAAAUUACCUUAAAUCAAAAAGAAUAGAAACAAGAUCCUUGGCAUUAAUGGUAAUAAUAACCAGAUUCCUGUGAAGGGCUAAAAUAUUGCUAUUUUAGUCACUUGUUGUGGGAAUUUGUACUUUUCAAACUCAAUAUGAAGCGCUUCUGGAACUUUCUGUCAAGUGUUUUCUGUGGCUGCCAAGUAACCCGGACAGGAGGAGAAAGGGAUGUUUUUGUCUAGCACAUUUCUUCUAUCACCAGGAAAAUGAAGUUCUAGGUGGUCUGCUUUUUCUUUGUAAUUUUUUUUAAUGGUAUGGAGAGGUUGCAAGUACUGCAGUCUGGUCUAUUGAGGCACCCCUGAAGCAUGACGUUUAUUCAGGGUUCGUCCUAAGCCCUUUGUCUUUUUGUGGUAGGAAUUCUCUGAUUUCUUUUGCCUUCAACCUGCAGAACUUUUGAAGGAUGGCACAAUUUGGCCAAACAUAAUAAUGUUAGAAAAAUUGUCCAUAAAGAAAAGUGUUCCUGAGCCUUUCUAACAUUUUCUGCUCUCUGGCCCUGAUUCUCUGAACUUCUGGUUUGCAACUGCCCCUAACCUCUUUCAGAAAUCCUGAGUCCUGGCCUGGAGCCCACCCCCUCAGAGGAGACCCAGCUCAGCACAUGCACUCUGUCUCUUAGCCUGGAGGUCAUGUGGGCCAAAUCUGGGCAAGGAACCAGAGCUGUUUCAUAACUAACUUCUACUUAUUCAUCUCUCCUGCUAAAUCAUUAUUCCUGUUUUAUAGUCAGGGCAGUAGGCAGAGCGGUCAACUCAAAAUCAGAGUUGGACUUGCUGCAAAAUCCCGAGGUGUCAACAACAAUGGCAAUAAGAGUAAUAUUUAUUGAGUAGUUACCACUAAAUCAGCUUUAUGUUAGGAGCUUUGUACACAUUAUCUCAUUUAAUUAUUACAUCGCCUCUACAAGAGUGGUACUACAAUUAUACUCCUUUUACAGAUGAAUGGACUUAAAAUGUUAAAUUAAUUGCUCAAGAUCUCACAAUUUCUAAUCAGGGCAUUCAGACCCCAAGUGUUUCUUACACUCUGUAUCCUUUACUGCCUCUUGACAUGUUUGAAGACUUUAUGAAGAAAUUUGGAGGAGGUUGUAGGUAUUUUCAGAGAACUCCACCUUUGGGACACAGUUGAGCCUUGAGAAGGGCAAAUUUCAAACAUUCCUAAAAGAGUUGAUGUUAUGCAUGGCUUUUGAACUAUACUGUGCUGAGCACAUUCUCUGACUCCUAUGUAAAAUAAAAUAUAGUGAUAUUCAAGAAAAGCUUUAUAGUAGAAAUAUUGGUUUCAUUGAUGAGGUUCACCACCAUCUUUCUGCAUACUAUUUAAUAAAGACAGUAGGGCUCUUUACCCCUUGACAUCAUGAUAAACUUAAGGUGAUUUCUCUGGCAUUCGGUUUCCUUAUUUGUAAAUGAAGGGUUCGGGCAACUUGAUCUCUAUAAUCUCUUUUGACUCGCUGCUCAGGUGUGUACACACACACACACACACACACACCCAAGAAACCUUUUUAAAGUCUUGGGAAUCCCUUACAUGAAGUGUUAGUCAUGUCCCACUGGCUCCUAUAAUGUGGAAUUCUGGGUCCAGGUGGCUAGUCACCACUUGUGGGGAUUUGCAGCUCCGGUUGUUACUGACCCGGGUCCUUGGACUUUUUAAUCAAUAGAAAUUGAUAAGAGGCCAGAUGAGAAAUUCAGGCAAGGCUUUAUGAGGACUCAAGUUACAGCACAGGGGAGUAGAAACAAGUAGCAAAUUUCCUGGCUCCCUAAGAAGAGGUGAGCUGGUUCCUUAAAUGAGGUGAGGGUGUCCCUUAUAGUUUCUUUGUAUUCUGUCACUGGAGGAGAUGAGGAGACAUUUGUCCAGGUGUAAUCAUUGCAGCCACGGGGCCUCUGUCCUGGGUCCCAGCCUGUUUCGCAGUCAUAAGCAACUGGUUUCCUGGCCCAGGAGGAUGAUGUUUGUACACAGUCCUCAAACCUCACUCUCCAGGAUUUAUAAAUAGUGAAGGGUGUAAAUCAAGCCAGCUGGUUUGCUCCAGGGAGCCCUUGCUCUCCCUAGGAGGAGCAUUUUGCUCUGCAGGCAGAAGAUGGAACUAAAUAAGCCAUCAUUUCCCAUGGACCAGAGCUGAAGAAGGUAGAGAAAGUUCUGCUGAUGGAGUUAUAUCCCCUGGCCUGAGUUUCCCUGGGACCACUUGCCAUGAGGAAGGCCCAAGGGAGGUGGCAUAUGAAACCCAGAGUGAGGAAAAGCUGGAAGGAUGAUUUUAUUCUGGUUAAUCCUGGGGGUCUCAGGGAAUGUCCUGUCCCAGAAAGGUGGCUCUUCACAAGGCCCAUCAGAACUGAUCUCACAUGCAGGUAAAGAAGGAUCUAGGGAGAGUUCCCACUGUGGUGCAGAGGAACCGAAUCUGACUAGUAUCCAUGAGGAUGCAAGUUCAAUCCCUGGACUCCCUCAGUGGGUUAAGGAUCCUGCGUUGCUGUGAGCUGUGAUGUAGGUUGUAGACAUGGCUCAGAUCCCAAGUGGCUGUGACUGUGGCUGUGGCCUAGGCCGGCAGCUGUACCUUGGAUUAGAUCCCUAGCCUGGGAACUUCC
rnacentral:lncRNA from 1 species